rnacentral:rRNA from 1 species
GACGAACGCUGGCGGCGUGCUUAACACAUGCAAGUCGAACGGUGAAGCGCCUUCCUUUUUGGUGGGUGUGGAUGAGUGGCGAACGGGUGAGUAACACGUGAGUAACCUGCCCCCUUCUUCUGGAUAACCGCAUGAAAGUGUGGCUAAUACGGGAUAUUCUGGGUCUGUCGCAUGAUGGGUCUGGGAAAGAUAUUGUUUCGGUGGGGGAUGGGCUCGCGGCCUAUCAGCUUGUUGGUGGGGUGAUGGCCUACCAAGGCGGUGACGGGUAGCCGGCCUGAGAGGGUGGACGGUCACACUGGGACUGAGACACGGCCCAGACUCCUACGGGAGGCAGCAGUGGGGAAUAUUGCACAAUGGGCGCAAGCCUGAUGAAGCGACGCCGCGUGAGGGAUGGAGGCCUUCGGGUUGUGAACCUCUUUCGCCAGUGAAGCAGGCCUGCCUCGUUUGUGGGUGGGUUGACGGUAGCUGGAUAAGAAGCGCCGGCUAACUACGUG